GUGGGGGCACCUCCUCCUCCUCAUCGGCCUCCAGUCAGAGGUCCGGCUGUUGUUGGAAGUUUAAUGACAGUCUCUGUAAGUGGGGGUCCUCGUGCCGGUUUAAGCACGAGUGCUCCGGCUGCGGUGGGGCCCAUCCCGCCUCACGCUGUUUCAAGCGGGGCAAAACGGGGGAGAAGGGGGACAUGGGGGCUAAGGGCGACGACUCCGGUCCUCGUAAACGCGAUGCGCCCGUGGCUCGACCUUUAUAAGAAUCGGGCUGCGGCGCGGAUCCUGGUGGAUGGGUUUGAGCAGGGGUUUUGGAUCCCUUUCGCGGAGCGCCCUCCGCUGCUCUCCGUCCGGAACCUCAAGUCCGUGCGGGCUUUUCCUCAGGUGGUGCGGGACAAGUUGGAAAAGGAGGUCUCCUUGGGUCGGAUGGCCGGCCCGUUCUCCACCCCGCCGAUGGCGAAUCUGCGGGUUUCUCCCUUGGGUGUGGUACCCAAGAAGGAUCCCGGGAAGUUUCGUUUAAUUCACCAUUUGUCGUACCCUCGGGGCGGAUCGGUGAAUGAUGACAUUUCCGCUGAACUUUGCAGGGUUUCCUACGCAUCCUUUGAUGCGGCGGUUCGAAUGGUGAGAGCGGCGGGCCCCGGGGCACUGCUGGCUAAGGCGGAUGUGGAAUCCGCUUUCCGGCUGCUCCCGGUGCAUCCGGAGUGCCAUCAUCUUUUGGGGUGUGCCUUUGAGGGCCAAUUUUUUGUGGACAUGUGCCUCCCCAUGGGUUGCUCGCUAUCCUGUUUUUAUUUUGAGUGCUUUAGCACUUUUCUGGAAUGGGUGGUGCGGAGGGAAGCGGGGGUCGCUUCCCUCCUGCACUACCUGGAUGAUUUCCUGUGUGUAGGUCCGGCGGAGUCGCACGUCUGUGCUCUCCUGCUGCGGGUUCUCGGAGAGGUGUUUCAUCACUUCGGGGUUCCGUUGGCUCGUGACAAGACGGUUGGUCCGGUCACGUGCUUGAGCUUUCUGGGCAUCGAAAUCGAUUCGAUGGCUGGGGAAUGUCGGCUGCCGCAUGAUAAGGUCUUGGAUCUGCGCCUAGCGGUGUCCCGAGCCCUGGGGCGGCGUAAGAUCCAGCUACGCUGCCUGCAGUCUUUGCUGGGGAAGUUCAAUUUUGCCUGUCGGAUAUUGCCAAUGGGGCGUAUUUUUAAUAGGCGCUUGGCGGCGGCGACGUCGGGGGUCGCUCAUCCGCAGCAUUUUAUCCGGCUUACCCGGCCCUUACGGGCUGAUUUGGCCGUCUGGGACUCCUUUUUGGCCUCCUAUAAUGGCAGGUCUUACUGGCAGGCCCCGGAGGUCUCUAAUGCGGACCUCCAUUUGUUUACUGAUGCGGCGGGUUCGGCCGGCUUUGGAGCCAUCCUGGGCGCCAAAUGGUGCGCUGACUCAUGGCCGGAGACCUGGCACGCGGCAGGGCUCACUCGAAAUCUGGCAUUUCUGGAGCUCUUCCCAAUUUUGGUAGCUUUGGAGGUAUGGGGUUCCCUGCUGGUGGAUAGUCGGGUGGUCUUCCAUUGUGACAAUUUGGGUGUAGUGCAGGCUAUUAACCAGCUGUCUGCUUCUUCCCCCCCCGUGGUUCGCUUGCUCCGACGCCUAGUGCUGCGUUGUCUCGAGCUGAAUGUGUAUUGUAGGGCUGUGCACAUCCCGGGUGUGCGUAAUGUGAUGGCCGAUGCUCUCUCUCGUUCACAGUGGGACGUGUUUCGGGCGGUGGCUCCACAAGCCGAGCUGGAGGGUGUCCCGUGUCCGACAGAGAUGUGGUCCUUGGGUCUGACAGACUGAUGGAGUUGGUCCGUGGGUCGGUCGCUGCGGCCACAUGGGACCGCUAUAAUAAGGUUUGGAGGGAAUGGGAAGGGUGGGAAGGGUCCUGUGGGGGCUUCCGGGACUCAUCCUCUCGUCUGCAGGGUUUGGUUCGGCUCUUAGGGGACUGGGAGGCCGCGGGGUUGUCUCCCUCGGCCAUAUCGGCACGCUUAGCGGGGCUCAGCUUCCUGUUUAAGCUACGGGGUUGGGAGGACGCUACCAAGGCGUUCAUUGUCCGUCAGGCUCUGAAGGGCUUGAGGCGGGGGAGGGUGUCGGUGCCGGACUCGAGGCGUCCUGUCUCGGGCACGCUCCUAACUGCUUUGUGUGAGGCGUUGCACCGGGUUUGCCAUUCGGAUUUCGAGGUUCGGCUGUUUCGCCUUGCCUUUUCCCUGGCAUUCUUCGGCGCCAUGCGGAUUGGGGAGCUGGUAUGCCCCAGCCGGCGGCAGGUAGGGGGGGUGUUGUUUGGUGACGUUUCGUGCGGCACUGAUCUGAUCUCGUUCCGGAUCCGCCGCUCUAAGACGGACGUCUUGGGGAGGGGUAAGUGGGUCCGUUUGGGGGCGGUUCCGGGUUCCGGCGUUUGUCCGGUUUGGUCCUUUGGGGAAUAUUGUUCUGUGCGCUCUUCUCCUGCGCUGCCUCUCCUGGUCCAUGGGGAUGGGAGUUUCCUGUCCCAUUUCCAGUUUGUUAGAGUGUUUCGUUUAGGGCUGGAAGCGAUGGGGUUGGAUAGCAGGGAGUUCGGGGGCCAUUCCUUCCGUGUUGGAGCGGCGACCGAGGCCUCUCGGCUAGGCAUGCCAGCGCAGGUGGUUCAGAGGAUUGGUAGGUGGGACUCGAGGCGUUAUAUUUCCUAUGUUCGUCCGGCCGGUUUAAUGUCAUGAUUUCUUUUCACAGUUUCGGUUCCCCCCAGGAUCUGGAUCGUCGGGCACUCUUAUGUUUACUGGGCUGGGCAGCGUGCGGCGGUUCGGCCUGGAGGUGCGAGGUUGGGUUUCACGCCUUCCGAAGCGGAAGUUCGAUGGCUCGGUGCAAGGGGUAUGAGGUGGUCACGGCUCCUCCCCGAGUUAGUGCGGCUGUCUCGUCUCUUAGGGGCGCCGAGUGUCCUGGUGAUUCACCUGGGGGGGAAUGAUCUGGGUUCAGUACCCAUCUGGGAUUUAAUCACGGAGGUGAAGCGGGACUUGGCCCGCAUUUUGCUUUUAUUCCCGGGCGUGCGCUUGAUCUGGUCGGAAGUUAUUGCCCGCAAUUAUUGGCGUGGCGCCAGGAAUCAGAGUGCCGUGGAGCGCUGCCGUCGGAAGUUAAACAGGAGGGUUUCCCAGUUGUUUUGGGGGCUCAAGGGCUCCCGGUCCGCCACAGGGUUUUUGAGCGGGAGGCGGCUCAUUUUUUCGUGGGGAUGGUGUACACCUAACGGAGGUCGGGCUCGACCUUUUUAAUCUCGCCUUGCAGGAGGCGGUGGAACAGGCCAUGGGUGGUUUUGGUGGGGUUCCCCGCUGAUUUAGGGGUAAAGCAGCGGGUUUGGUGGCGGGGGAUGUCCUUGCCAAUUAAGUUUGGUUAUGUUUAAGGAAGGAAUAAGUUCCUUAUGUUUGCAGGUCUCAGCCUCCCCUGCUUCAAAAGGUUUAACUUUAGGUUGCCUGAGGUCUCGUGCCCAUCGAGCGUGGGUAAAGUCGGCUGAUGGCAGGCAUUGGAAUGAUAUGUUUUUUAUGACGGGGGGGGAGGUGAGAGGCAGUGGUGUUUAGGAACCACUGUAGGUUUAUUGGCAAGGACGGUGGGGUCUCUGUAUAGCACUGUAUGUUAAAUUGAGAUGUAU